UGCAUAUCCMUAAGCGGAGGAAAAGAAACCAACAGGGAUUGCCUUAGUAGCGGCGAGUGAAGCGGCAAAAGCUCAAAUUUGAAAUCUGGCGCUUUCAGCGUCCGAGUUGUAAUUUGAAGAUUGUAACCUUGGGGCUGGCUCUUGUCUAUGUUUCUUGGAACAGGACGUCACAGAGGGUGAGAAUCCCGUGCGAUGAGAUGCCCAGUCCUAUGUAAGGUGCUUUCGACGAGUCGAGUUGUUUGGGAAUGCAGCUCUAAGUGGGUGGUAAAUUCCAUCUAAAGCUAAAUAUUGGCGAGAGACCGAUAGCGAACAAGUACAGUGAUGGAAAGAUGAAAAGAACUUUGAAAAGAGAGUGAAAAAGUACGUGAAAUUGUUGAAAGGGAAGGGUUUGAGAUCAGACUCGAUAUUUUGCGGGCCUUGCCUUCGUGGCGGGGGUCUAUCCACAGCUUAUCGGGCCAGCAUCGGUUUGGACGGCAGGAUAAUGGCGUAGGAAUGUAGCUUCCUCUCGGGGAAGCAUUAUAGCCUGCGUUGAUGCUGCCAGUCUAGACCGAGGACUGCGAUUUUAUCAAGGAUGCUGGCAUAAUGAUCCCAAACCGCCCGUCUUGAACGAC
rnacentral:rRNA from 1 species